rnacentral:rRNA from 1 species
AUGCACGCUGGCGGCGUGCCUAAUACCUGCCAGUCGAGCGAACAGACGAGAGUGCUUGCACUCUCUGACGUUAGCGGCGGACGGGUGAGUAACACGUGGGUAACCUACCUAUAAGACUGGGAUAACUUCGGGAAACCGGAGCUAAUACCGGAUAAUAUUUAGCUUCGCAUGAAGCAAUAGUGAAAGACGGUUCUGCUGUCACUUAUAGAUGGACCCGCGGUGUAUUAGCUAGUUGGUGAGGUAACGGCUCACCAAGGCAACGAUACAUAGCCGACCUGAGAGGGUGAUCGGCCACACUGGGACUGAGACACGGCCCAGACUCCUACGGGAGGCAGCAGUAGGGAAUCUUCCGCAAUGGACGAAAGUCUGACGGAGCAAUGCCGCGUGAGUGAAGAAGGUUUUCGGAUCGUAAAACUCUGUUGUAAGGGAAGAACAAGUACGUUAGUAACUGAACGUACCUUGACGGUACCUUACCAGAAAGCCACGGCUAACUACGUG